rnacentral:rRNA from 1 species
UUAGGAAUAUUCGUCAAUGGGGGAAACCCUGAACGAGCAAUGCCGCGUGAACGAUGAAGACCCUAUGGGUUGUAAAGUUCUGUUGUAUGGGAAGAAUAUCUAUAAUAGGAAAUGAUUAUAGUCUGACGGUACCAUACCAGAAAGCUCCGGCUAACUACGUGCCAGCAGCCGCGGUAAUACGUAGGGAGCGAGCGUUAUCCGGAUUUAUUGGGCGUAAAGGGUGCGUAGGCGGUUUGUUAAGUAUGAGAUUAAAGCCUGGGGCUUAACUCCAGUUCGUUUCAUAAACUGGCAGACUUGAGUAUGGCAGAGGUAAACGGAAUUUCUAGUGUAGCGGUAAAAUGCGUAGAUAUUAGAAGGAACACCAGUGGCGAAGGCGGUUUACUGGGCCAUAACUGACGCUGAGGCACGAAAGCGUGGGUAGCAAACAGG